rnacentral:rRNA from 1 species
CAAUAGCGUAUAUUAAAGUUGUUGCGGUUAAAAAGCUCGUAGUUGGAUUUCUGCCGAGGACGACCGGUCCGCCCUCUGGGUGAGUAUCUGGCUCGGCCUGGGCAUCUUCUUGGAGAACGUAACUGCACUUGACUGUGUGGUGCGGUAUCCAGGACUUUUACUUUGAGGAAAUUAGAGUGUUUCAAGCAGGCACACGCCUUGAAUACAUUAGCAUGGAAUAAUAAUAUAGGACCUCGGUUCUAUUUUGUUGGUUUCUAGAGCUGAGGUAAUGAUUAAUAGGGAUAAUUGGGGCAUGCUGUAUUAACACGUCAGAGGUGAAAUUCAUUGGAUUGUGUUACGACAAAC